UUGACAUAUUGUCUUAUUAAUGUUUUGGUUUUAUAAUUUUCUYGCUUAUACUUAACAACUUGUGUAAUCACUCAUCAGUCAUCACAUUACAAAAAAGUAUUUAUUAAUCGUGCUUGUAUUAUUAUGACUUAUGAGUUAUGACCAUGUAUGGUCUAACUACAUCUGUAAUAUUAUCUUUAAGUUUAGAAACUUUUAUUUGGAAGAACAAUUAAUAUUGUACAAUAAUUUUGUAGGACGUGUAAAUUGGUAAAAUUGUUUUGAUGAGAUACGUUUGCACCGAAGUGUUUAAAAUGUACCAUGGCAUUGUACAUCAAGAAGCCCCCAUCAUCUCCCCUAUAUUUCUAAAUUAACCAUCAGAUGCAAAUCAAAGSAUCUACAAAUAACCUUAUCAGUUGACCAGUUAUUUCAUCAUAUGCAUGUUGCUCAUUCCAAUAACUUGGAAACCAAUUACAUCAAAAUCAUGAAGUUGUUUUUUUCAAUCAACUUCCUAAAAAAAAUUCUAUUAGUUUUAUAAYAACUGAAACAAAAUAAAGAGGAAGCACAAACAGAAUCUAAAGAAUGACCACUAUAAAACGUCGGCAGAUGGCAUCUACUAAUUAAAGGAUUAUUUGAAACUGAAACAUUUAAGAAAUGUUCAAAAACUUAAUCAUACUUUAAAAUUGAUUAACCAUACUCUUUUUUUAAACUAUACUUUAGGUUAAUUUCAAUUAAUUUCAAAGUUCAAAGAAUCACGUUUACAAAAUCACAAACAUUUAUAAAAUGUAUUUUAAAUUUGGGCAAUGUAUACUAACAAAUUAUCAUACAARAAGUACAGGACAUAGCAUUCAAAACUUCUAACACACUUGCAUGUAAUUCAUCAAUUUCGGUAAAUUACUAAAUAAGAUGUACAAUAAAUUAUUAAGUGAACAAGAUGAUUUUUUAGUGAAAGAUUCUGGCUGGUUGAUUAAAACAAUAGAUGCAUUACUAAUGAGAAUUAAUAUAAUGAAUCCUCUCUGACGAAGAAUGUAUCUAGAUCUUCUUGAAUAUAUAAAAGAGUAAUUAAUUAUAAAUUUGAAAAAUAUUGAUAAUAAAUGCUUUAAAUAUUUAAUGCUAUCUAAGUUUGAUAAAUGUUCRAAUAAAAUUUAUUUUAAAAUGUUAGAAAAAUUUUGGAUUUCAAAUGUAACCAACCAGAAGAAAAAUUUGAACAUAUAAACAAUACAUCAAUUCAUAUUAAUAUUUUAAAUGAUAAAAACAUGCAUAAGUUAUCUACCAAUCAGAGAUUUUCUCAUAGUCUAGCAAUCGUCAAUAACCUCUUCCUUUCCAAGUGUUCCCCCUCAUAAUUCUUAAAAUCCGCAUAUUCUAUGUACUUAUAUUAAUUGUCAAGAUAUUAUAACGAUUGGUUAAAAUCUCAGUAAAUAAAAAUAAUAAUAAAUGAUAAUAACAUAAAUUCUAUCUGCAUAAUUAUAAUA